CGCCACUCAUCCAACAUGGCCACAGUAGGGGGGGUAAGGAGGCCUCCUCCCCUGCGCCCGAUAUACGACGGCGCCUGGCCGGCGAGGUUGAUAACCUCGAACCAUGUCGCUUCGCCGGAGCCUUGCCCUUCCGGGAGCAUGGUUCAGGGCCUUCACCCUUCCAAUAGCGCAUUUGCGCACUUGCCUGCUCUAUUUCCUGAGAGUCUGACUCAGCCGAG